CUGCAGACGCCAGAUUUACCGGAUUAUCUAAUACCAAGACUAAAAAUGUGAUUCAAAGAUGUAGAGAAAGCAAGGGAAUUUUAUAACAGAUACACCAGACAUGCUAGUUUUGGAAUCAGGAAGACGGGUGGAAAUGACAACCACAAGUAUUUUGUUUGCGCCUUCCAAGGGAUACACACAUCUUCUGUUUCAGAGGCCAACAGGAAGCGAAACAAAACAUCACAGAGGACGGGCUGCAAUGCAAGAAUGAGGGUGAAGGUGCAGGAGGAUGGCACAUGCGUGGCAGUGGACAUUGAGUACAAUCAUAAUCACGAGCUCAUGCAAACUGAUGACAUGCUGGUAUUUUUGCACUCACACAAGAAUUAUGACCCCACUAUUUUGGAGUACGUAAAGCUCCUGCAGUACCAUGAUGUCAAGCACACAACAAUCAUGUGCAUGCUAUCUGAAAAUGAAGAUGGAAGCUACUUCCUAAGCAUGACCGGACGAGACCUGCUAAACCAGAAAGCCAUGAAUGCAAGGAAAGAUGAUUUGGAUGAUGUAUUGAAACUUGUUUCAUUCUUCAAAGACAUGAAGGCAAUAAAUGAUGAGUUUGUCUAUGACAUCCAAGUGGACAAGGACAAGUCAAUUAAAAACAUUUUGUGGUCCAAUACAAGCUGCCGAGGAGCCUAUCAAGACUUCGGCGAUUGCGUAACAUUCGACACGACUUACAAGACCAACAUAUUUCAUAUGCCCCUAGGAGUGUUUGUUGGAACAAACCAUCACUUGCAGUCAACGAUAUUUGCUGUUGCCCUGAUAAGAGACGAAGAUGCAAAGUCAUUCAAGUGGUUGUUCGAUACAUUUCUAUGGUGCAUGAACAACAAGCACCCAACUUGCAUUCUAACAGAUAAUGUAAAUAAUGCAGUUCAACCAGUACCACUAUCAUUUCCAAACACCGUCCACAAGCUAUGCAGUUGGCACAUCAUGAAGAAGUACAGGGAAUACCUCGCGUUGCUGUACAAAAAGUAUAAAACAUUCAAAGAGGAGUUCAUAGCUAUAUUAAACUGGCCACUGAUGCCAACGGAGUUUGAAGAUGCCUGGGCUAAAAUCAUGCACAAAUACAACCUGGAGAACGACCAGAUGAUGAUGCAGCUCUAG
rnacentral:rRNA from 1 species